CAGUGGCUUAACAGUUUUGGUCAAAUUGACUCUGCUCUGCACAAAAACGAUCCCCUCAUUCUUUUAUCCCCUCAUUUUUUUUUUUUUUAUCCAAACGUGUAACAGUGAUUAAAGGACAUGGGAACAUACUUUAUAGAGCAAGAACAAUCUUCCUAAAUGACAGGAGAUCCAGAAGCCACACGCACAAAGAUUCUAGGUUUGAUUGUGUAAGAACUUUAUUAGGUAUAGAGUCAAAGACAGUACAAACAAAAGGUUUAAACAGAAUUAGAGGGAAUCAUUAACCCAUGAAAUUCAUAUUCUUAACACACAAGUGCUCCUACAAUCACUUAGAAAAUGGCACUUCCUCCCGCCAUGGGCAAAGGGUAUGAAGAGGCAACAGGUGACUGAUGAACAUGUGGUAAGUACUCAAUCUCAGUAGGAUCAGAAGAAAUACAAGUUAAACCAGUGAAUUAUUUACACUGCAAAAGCAAAUGAAAGGAGAUGCUCUAUGUGCUGAGUGAAGAAAAAUGAAUUACAGAACCUUUUGUGAACGGCAACUUGUCGAUACCAGAAUUUUCCUGGGCCAAACCAAGAAUUUCUUUUGCAGUUAACAAAUAGCACACAGUGUAUCUCCCAACAAUGGCAAAGGCACCAAACAAGCAGAAAAGAGAGGGUCAGGAAGAAUAGCUAGACCAGGUAGAACUCUACUCAUUCCAAAAUGAAAAUCUAGCCUUGCAGAGGCUCUAUGGAUUACUGGUAGAGUCCGUCUUACCCAAUUUCCUCUACUAAAAAAAAAGGGGGUGGGGGAGCCAAAUUAAAUAAAAAUAAACAUGCCAGCAUCAUUGAAAUAGGAAAGUGAUACCACCUCAUAUCACACAUUAUGAAAAGGCGAAUACAGAAACAGCAGUUAGGGCCACACUAAAGAACAUGCCAGGAUCUUUGGCGAACUCUUCCCUCUGAUAAGAGCAGCACAAUGGAGAAAACGUAGGCAGAAGGAACUCUGAAAAAACUAGACUAAUAUAACCCAACAUGGUGGGAUGAAGGUGCUUAAAAUUCCUCUAAGAAGCCUUCAUUCUAGAUCCUCGUCUGAAGAGCAAAGGCAAGUUGGCAAUAUCUUAAAAUACGUCUAUCUUGUGAUCUACCAAUUUAUCCUCCAAAAAUACUGGUAAAACCUUACAAAAGCGUAUGUAGAAGAAUGUUAAUUACAACACUUUUUUAAAAAAAUAUAAACCCUAGACCCACAGUGGUCCCUGCCCUCGCUAAAUGCUCUAUGAGAUCUGCACUUCCGGUGAAGAUGGAAUUGGAGGGAAUAGUUUACCUUCCCACCUGAAAUACUAACAAAAUCUAUAAAACCUUGGUGUUGAAGAGACUGGUCACUGGGCAACGAAACAGGCCCAUGGGAAAUGGGAAACGAGUGAGGGGAAUACGGGACUAUGAUUCCCCCAGGGAACCACAUGCGUUAUUUCCAAGGCUGUGUGUGGUCUCUGAGUGGAGGCGAUGGCGCUGGGAAAUGAAGAGGCUGAGGAGGUUGGAGUUCACAGGAUUAAGUGCCUCAGGGCUCUUAGAG